GCCUCAGUAGUCGAGUUGGCUAAGACGCUCGCUCCGGAAAGUUGAGAGAUCCCAGGUUCGAAUCGUGGCUGAGGUA
rfam:Trachymyrmex zeteki contig15750, whole genome shotgun sequence.